CCGGUGCGCGCCCGUGUGAGCGCGCGUGGCGGGUGCGGGUGCGGGCCGGGUCCGUGUGUGCCUGCGCCCCGCUCCCUGUGUGCUCCCAGGCCGGCACACGCGGUGUGCCCCGUUCUGUGUGUGCGGCUGUUGGGAGCUGCUGUUCCCUGCAUCGCUCUGUGGACCCCCGGUGCGCCUUUGCUGCGCUGCGGCUCCCUUUAGGCACUGGAAGGAUGCUGUGAGGUCUCCCCGCAGCCUUCUCUUCUCCAGACUGAGCAGCCCCAGAUCUCACAGCCUGUCUCCAUAGGAGAGGUGCGCCAGCCCCCGGAGCAUCUCUGUGUCCCUCCUUUGGAGUCGCUCGAGCAGGUCCAUGUCCUUCCUGUGCCGGUGGCCCCCGAUCUGGAUGCAGCAGUGUAACACAGCACCCGUGUGCCGUCCCCACCCGCGGGGCUGCGGGCCGGGCUGUGUGCGGGGAGCUGAGUCUGCAGGGGUCAGCAGCGUGUGCGGCUCUGCAGCUGCGUCAGUCACUCCGAAAGCGGCUCGGAUGCUUGGAUUUGUUACCUUCUUUGGGAGGCUCUGCCUUGGGUUUGUGAGCUCCUCCAUCCGGUUUGGAGACAGAAACCUUUGAAA